CUCCCUUUUCCUCCAGUGCUGAUCCAGCAGGUAGAGCAGGACACGGAGGGAAGGUGAGCCCCGAGCUGGGCGACAGCUUUGGAGAAAGGUCUGGAGAAGGUUCUGGAACAGGGUCUGGAGAAAGUUCCAGAGUGGGUUCUCAGGCAGGUUCCAGAGGUUCUGGGUCGGUUCUAGAUCGGGUUCCGGAUCGGUUCUAGAUCGGGUUCCGGAUCGGUUCUAGAUCACGUUCUAGAUCGGUUCUAGAUCACGUUCUAGAGCGGUUCUAGAUCGGUUCUAGAUCACGUUCUAGAUCAUGUUCUAGAGCAGGUUCCAGAUCGGUUCUAGAGCGGUUCCAGAUCGGUUCUAGAGCAGGUUCUCGAGGUUCCGGAGCAGGUUCUCGAGAAGGUUCUUGCUUUGGAGAAGGUUCUGGGGAAGGUUCCGACUCUGGAGAAGGUUCUGGAGAAGGUUCCAGAACAGGGUCUGGAGUGGGUUCUGGAGAAGGUUCUUGCUUUGGAGAAGGUUCUGGAGAAGGUUCAGACUCUGGAGAAGGUUCUGGGGAAGGUUUUGACUCUGGAGAAGGUUCUGGAGAAGGUUCCGACUCGAGAAGGUUCUGGGGAAGGUUUUGACUCUGGAGAAGGUUGUGGAUCCAGUGUGGAUUUAUUGCAGACCCAGUGUGGAUCUAAUGUGGAUCUGGUGUGGAUUUAUUGUGGAUUUAUAGCGGAUCCAGUGUGGAUCCAGUGUGGAUUCAGUGUGGAUCCGGUGUGGAUUCAUUGUGGAUCCGGUGUGGAUUCAUUGUGGAUCUGGUGUGGAUUCAGUGUGGAUUCAUUGUGGAUCCGGUGUGGAUUCAUUCCGGAUCCAGCGUGGAUCUGGUGUGGAUUGGGUGUGGAUUCAUUCCGGACCCGGUGUGGAUUCAGUGUGGAUUCAUUCCGGAUCCGGUGUGGAUCGGGUGUGGAUCCGGUGUGGAUUCAUUCCGGAUCCGGUGUGGAUUCAGUGUGGAUCGGGUGUGGAUUCAUUCCGGAUCCAGCUCCCCACAUCCCCUUGGCUGAGCUCGGAUCCGGAUCCGGGAAUGAGAAGGGAUUUGUGUCCCGGGAGCGCCGGGGCCGGGCUGGGAUUUGGGUUGGAUUUUCCGGAUGGGGGAGGCGGGGCUGGAAUCCCUGGAGAAAGGACAAAACCAUGGAAAUAACCAGGACGGGAUCCACCAGAUCCCAGGAGUUUGCCAUUCCCGAUCAUCCAGGGACCCCCAGAUGGGCUCAGAGCUCCUUUCCAGGGGAAAUCCGGCUGGGAUUCGGGUGCUGGAAACGCUCCGAGGAUCUGGGGACGGAUUUAUCCCCCGGGGAUGGGGCAGGAUUGGGGAUGUUCCUCCCUCGGGAUGGAAUCGGCUCCGGAGGAAGAGUUGGCCGUUCCCAGCAGGAAAAUUUGGGAGUCAGAAUUCCAAAGAGAAGGAUCUGGAAUCACCACGGGGGGCUCGGCCCUGGGACCCCUCAGGAACUCGCUUUUCCUUGGAUCUGAGGAGGAAAAAAGGAAAAAAGCCAGAAAUGGUUGUUCCCAUGGAAGAGUUUUUGCUUCUCCUCCUUUUCCUUUUUCCUUCUCCUUUUUUCUUU
ensembl:lncRNA